rnacentral:ncRNA from 1 species
GUGAAAUGAGAGGUCAGAGAAAGAAUAGUGUUCUUAAGAUCAGGUCAUGAGAAUGACCAAAACACUGAGUGGGGGAAUUCUCAACCUUUAGAUGGGUAAGAAGCUCAGCUUGCUGGCAUAGAUCCAGUUGUGGCAUGCAAGUGCCUAGUGGGAUGCUUUUAGCAAAUAGAUCUGAUGCUGCAGGAUGAACCAAAUACUCGAUGUCAACACCCAUCAAUUCCCAGGAAAGGGGUGGGUUGAUAUAGACAGCAGAAUGGAAGCUAGAAUCCACUAAGGAGUGUGUAACAACUCACCUGCCAAAUCAAUUAGCCCUAGAAAUUGAUAUCACUGGGAGGUUGGGCCCCUACCCAGCUGUCACCAGCAACAAGAGCUUUUGAGGCAACCCUACCACACAGCUGAAGUGUGCCUUGAAGCCUAGGGUGUGGGUCCAGGACAAGCUGCCACAGGUG